UACGUAGGGUGCAAGCGUUAAUCGGAAUUACUGGGCGUAAAGCGUGCGCAGGCGGUUGUGCAAGACAGAUGUGAAAUCCCCGGGCUUAACCUGGGAAUUGCAUUUGUGACUGCACGGCUAGAGUGUGUCAGAGGGGGGUAGAAGUUCCACGUGUAGCAGUGAAAUGCGUAGAUAUGUGGAGGAAUACCGAUGGCGAAGGCAGCCCCCUGGGAUAACACUGACGCUCAUGCACGAAAGCGUGGGGAGCAAACAGG
rnacentral:rRNA from 1 species